rnacentral:rRNA from 1 species
UACGUAGGGGGCUAGCGUUGUCCGGAAUCAUUGGGCGUAAAGCGCGCGUAGGCGGUCAGGUAAGUCCGGUGUGAAAGUCAAAGGCUCAACCUUUGAAUGCCGCUGGAAACUGCCUGACUUGAGUCCGGUAGGGGCGAGUGGAAUUCCUGGUGUAGCGGUGGAAUGCGCAGAUAUCAGGAGGAACGCCAAUAGCGAAGGCAGCUCGCUGGGACGUUACUGACACUGAGGCGCGAAAGCGUGGGGAGCGAACAGG